rnacentral:lncRNA from 1 species
CACUGCCAAUUAGAAUGCAUUUGUAGUAGAAAUGCUAAGUCAGGGCUUGACCCAGUGAUUGAGCACCUGGUGGGAAGGCAGGGCCAACCCAGGAGAGCUCAGGUGUAAGGAAUACAGCUGAGGGACCAGAACGGGUGGAGCCAGGAUGCACUCCUUCCCAGACCUCAUUUAAGGGUUGGCAGUGAAGACAAGUGUCCAGAACAACUGCAUACCCCAGGGGGCUUUGUGUUCAGAGAGGAGAUAUAACUUCUGGUAACAUCACCUGAUGUCCCUUUUUUCCUUCAGCUCUCCUCCCUGCUGCUCGACCCAACUGCGUGUCUCACUUCAAAAUUAUGACUUGAGAUCUGGAUCCUGUUCCCAGCUUUGGUGUUGCAAUUUCCUGUUCCACCCAUUCCUUCCAAUAUGCAGGGCUAUUGGAAAAACACUUCAGACAGAAAUAUUUUAUCUUGCAUCUGGCUCAGCUGCACAAAGAUUCACAAGAGUAACAGGACUUUUGCAUAAUGAAAUGGAUGGGGAAAGCCAGGUGCCGGGAAGAAGGAUGAGAAGAUCUGAAGGUGAAUAUUCUGCUGGUGGUGACACUGAACUUAAAGCAAGGAGACUGGCUAAUGGAAAUGAUUAUGGAAGUGGAAGUGACAGCUGCUGAAGUGGAAGGGAAAACUGAAGAUUUAAAGUGCCGAAAAUAUGUUUGCAGCACUGAAGAAGAGGUUCUGUUGUUUCACUCUUUCUCACACUCAUCUGUGUAUAAAAACCAAUGCAUUUUCCACAAAAUUUUCUUCAAAACAGAUGUAUUUGGGUCCCUUCAUUAAGUUAAUAUUUUCCUAAUUUCUCUCAUGUGCUGGAAAGGAAUACUUAGCUUUUAAUUAAAUUUUAAUUAAAAUUAAGAAUUACUGUUUUUCUAACAUUUAUUUCUUUAUGUUAUGAGAUCUGUAAAGAUGAGCUAGAAAGAAGCUGGCAUGC